rnacentral:rRNA from 1 species
AUGAACGCUAGCUACAGGCUUAACACAUGCAAGUCGAGGGGCAGCAUGGUCUUAGCUUGCUAAGGCCGAUGGCGACCGGCGCACGGGUGAGUAACACGUAUCCAACCUGCCGUCUACUCUUGGACAGCCUUCUGAAAGGAAGAUUAAUACAAGAUGGCAUCAUGAGUCCACAUGUUCACAUGAUUAAAGGUAUUCCGGUAGACGAUGGGGAUGCGUUCCAUUAGAUAGUAGGCGGGGUAACGGCCCACCUAGUCUUCGAUGGAUAGGGGUUCUGAGAGGAAGGUCCCCCACAUUGGAACUGAGACACGGUCCAAACUCCUACGGGAGGCAGCAGUGAGGAAUAUUGGUCAAUGGGCGAGAGCCUGAACCAGCCAAGUAGCGUGAAGGAUGACUGCCCUAUGGGUUGUAAACUUCUUUUAUAAAGGAAUAAAGUCGGGUAUGCAUACCCGUUUGCAUGUACUUUAUGAAUAAGGAUCGGCUAACUCCGUGCCAGCAGCCGCGGUAAUACGGAGGAUCCGAGCGUUAUCCGGAUUUAUUGGGUUUAAAGGGAGCGUAGAUGGAUGUUUAAGUCAGUUGUGAAAGUUUGCGGCUCAACCGUAAAAUUGCAGUUGAUACUGGAUAUCUUGAGUGCAGUUGAGGCAGGCGGAAUUCGUGGUGUAGCGGUGAAAUGCUUAGAUAUCACGAAGAACUCCGAUUGCGAAGGCAGCCUGCUAAGCUGCAACUGACAUUGAGGCUCGAAAGUGUGGGUAUCAAACAGGAUUAGAUACCCUGGUAGUCCACACGGUAAACGAUGAAUACUCGCUGUUUGCGAUAUACAGCAAGCGGCCAAGCGAAAGCGUUAAGUAUUCCACCUGGGGAGUACGCCGGCAACGGUGAAACUCAAAGGAAUUGACGGGGGCCCGCACAAGCGGUGGAGCAUGUGGUUUAAUUCGAAGCAACGCGAAGAACCUUACCAGGUCUUGACAUCCCGAUGCUAUUCUUAGAGAUAGGAAGUUACUUCGGUACAUCGGAGACAGGUGGUGCAUGGUUGUCGUCAGCUCGUGCCGUGAGGUGUCGGCUUAAGUGCCAUAACGAGCGCAACCCUUGUUGUCAGUUACUAACAGGUUCUGCUGAGGACUCUGACAAGACUGCCAUCGUAAGAUGUGAGGAAGGUGGGGAUGACGUCAAAUCAGCACGGCCCUUACGUCCGGGGCUACACACGUGUUACAAUGGGGGGUACAGAGGGCCGCUACCACGCGAGUGGAUGCCAAUCCCCAAAACCUCUCUCAGUUCGGACUGGAGUCUGCAACCCGACUCCACGAAGCUGGAUUCGCUAGUAAUCGCGCAUCAGCCACGGCGCGGUGAAUACGUUCCCGGGCCUUGUACACACCGCCCGUCAAGCCAUGGGAGCCGGGGGUACCUGAAGUGCGUAACCGCGAGGAGCGCCCUAGGGUAAAACUGGUGACUGGGGCU